CUCUGUGCAGGUCUAUUUAUACCUCUCCGUUUUGAUAUUAUUGUCCUUUUCCAGCCUAAGUCAGCUUAACUACAGAGAGAUCUUCAGGAAGUUCCUAUGGACCAUGAGGUCCCUACAGAAGCAGGCGUGAACUGAGUGUCCAGUGCAGGACAGAGGGCUGGGUUUGGACGUGCAGGAGGAUCAGAAGCAGAAAAGAAGCCCUCACAGAAUCAAAAUGAGAACAGUCAUUUGAUUGAAGAGCGUUGCUUACUGAACGCGAGGGGCCUGAAAGGUUUCGCAGGUAGCGGGAGAGUGGCGUGGGAGAGCCCGCUGGGCAGUGCCUCCUCCCUGCGGGUGGCAUGGCAUGAUCCCGCACACAGACCUUCCUCUUCUUCACCCGCACGGGAAGAAUUCCCGGAUGAAAUAAUUCUUUUUCUGCCCUUGCUCUGACAACCCUUAUUUUGCACAAACAGGGCUCCUCUCUGCAGCUAGAAAGCAUCCCUCCAGCCCCUGCCCAAGGCACACAUGUGGGACAGGAACGCUUCGAGGAAUUACCGGCUUGCAGAAACAUGUUUUUCUCAUUUCAUGUUAUUUCAGUUUUCUACACCAGGAAGACAAUGCUGCGUCAUUCCAUAGCAGUGGUAUUAGAAGCAAGAAUCAGUAAGGUCUUUUGUAAGUCAAGUGCUCUGCUUUUCAUUUUAACCAAUUUCAGUUGUACUUAGAAAAGUUAAGAAUGAUUACAUCACCAACAGAACAAUGCCUAAUGAUUUUUAGCUUGCUAAGUGCAGCUGAGAUUGUGGUUGAAGGAAGAGAAGUGCUGGAGUCAGAGGGAAAUGCACUCGGUCAGAACCUACAUCACCCAGAGGGGACGGUCCUGGGGACGGACAGCGGGGGCUUUCCGGCUGCAGGGCUGCGCCUCGCCUGAGCCUCUGCUGGAGCCCAGGGACCCGCCAAGGGGGGACGAGCGGGCUGGGGAGCCAGCAGCGGGCACUGGAGUGUGCUUGUGGGCAGCUCCCCACCUGGGGGAAAAAGAUGGAAGGCUGUAAAAGAAAAAUA